ACGCUCGACACCUACGGGAGGCAGCAGUGGGGAAUAUUGCACAAUGGAGGAAACUCUGAUGCAGCGACGCCGCGUGAGGGAAGAAGGUCUUCGGAUUGUAAACCUCUGUUGUCAGGGACGAUGAUGACGGUACCUGACGAGGAAGCCACGGCUAACUACGUGCUAGCAGCCGCGGUAAUCUGAGCGGGCUGGCAAGGC
rnacentral:rRNA from 1 species